UACGAAGGGGGCUAGCGUUGUUCGGAUUUACUGGGCGUAAAGCGCAUGUAGGCGGGUCGUUAAGUUGGGGGUGAAAUCCCGAGGCUCAACCUCGGAACUGCCUUCAAAACUGGCGACCUGGAGCGUGAUAGAGGCGAGUGGAAUUCCGAGUGUAGAGGUGAAAUUCGUAGAUAUUCGGAGGAACACCAGUGGCGAAGGCGACUCGCUGGAUCAUUGCUGACGCUGAGAUGCGAAAGCGUGGGGAGCAAACAGG
rnacentral:rRNA from 1 species